CGUUUGGGCGCUAGNAUGUGGGGCUCAUNNNNUNGAGUUCCGUGCCGCAGCUNACGCAUUNAGCGNCCCGCNUGGGGAGUACGGCCGCNAGGCUAAAACUCAAAGGNAUUGACGGGGGCCCNNACAAGCGGCGGAGCAUGCGGAUUAAUUCGAUGCAACGCGAAGAACCUUACCAAGGCUUGACAUGGGGUGAAAACUCGCAGAGAUGCGGGGUCCGCAAGGGCGCCUCACAGGUGGUGCAUGGUUGUCGUCAGCUCGUGUCGUGAGAUGUUGGGUUAAGUCCCGCAACGAGCGCAACCCUCGUUCUAUGUUGCCAGCACGUGAUGGUGGGGACUCAUAGGAGACUGCCGGGGUCAACUCGGAGGAAGGUGGGGACGACGUCAAAUCAUCAUGCCCCUUAUGUCUUGGGCUUCACGCAUGCUACAAUGGCCAGUACAAAGGGCUGCGAGACCGUGAGGUGGAGCGAAUCCCAAAAAGCUGGUCUCAGUUCGGAUCGGGGUCUGCAACUCGACCCCGUGAAGUCGGAGUCGCUAGUAAAUCGCAGAUCAGCANNGCUGCGGUGAAUACGUUNCCGGGCCUU
rnacentral:rRNA from 1 species